rnacentral:lncRNA from 1 species
CAUCAUAAAUGCCAUGUGAUAUUUUAGGUUGUUUGCAUUAGAAUUCACGAAUAUGUUGCAUUGCAUAUCUUGAUGUUGUUGUGGAUGGAUGUUGGAUGACCCAUUGGUCCUCAGUAUGAUGGGAUAUGAUAUGAUAUGUAAGACCAGGUGUGGCCUGCACUACGCCCCUGGCACUAUGUAAGGGAAAGACCGGGUGUGGCAUGCACUACGCCCCGGCACAGUUGG